rnacentral:rRNA from 1 species
CCUACGGGUGGCAGCAGUGGGGAAUAUUGCGCAAUGGGCGAAAGCCUGACGCAGCGACGCCGCGUGAGGGAUGAAGGUCUUCGGAUCGUAAACCUCUGUCAGCAGGGAAGAAAGGUCCGUGUGCUACUCAGCACUGCAUUGACCGUACCUUCAAAGGAAGCACUGGCUAACUCCGUGCCAGCGGGCUCGGUAAUACGGAGGGUGCGAGCGUUAAUCGGAAUUGCUGGGCUUAAAGGGCGCGUGGGCGGUAUGUUAAGCGAAGGGUGAAAUCCCCGCGCCUAACGCGGGAACUGCAGUUGAAACUGGGGAACUGGAGUGUGCGAGAGGAUGGUGGAAUUCCAGGUGUAGGGGUGAAAUCCUUAGAUAUCAGGAGGAACAUCAGUGGCGAAGGCGACUAUCUGGCACAUAACUGACGCUGAGGCGCGAAAGCGUGGGUAGCAAACAGGAUUAGAUACCCCAGUAGUC